AACCAUAGAAACCUGCGGAGUACCUGCGGAGGGAUCAUUAAUAAGUUUGAAUUUCCAAUUCAUCACACAUCCGCUGUGUACCGGUAACUGUUGCUUCCGUGGCUCGUGCUGUUCUGCAACACAAGGCAUUAAGCUGUUGCAACCAUGGUCACGGAAGGUUAUCUUCACUCUCAAUUGUGAAUUUUGUCAGAGUAGUUGCUAUUGAGUCGUAUUUUUCAAAACUUUCAACAACGGAUCUCA
rnacentral:misc_RNA from 1 species